rnacentral:rRNA from 1 species
AACGAACGCUGGCGGCAGGCUUAACACAUGCAAGUUGAACGGGAUUUAUUGGUAGCUUGCUAUUGAUAAUGAGAGUGGCGCACGGGUGAGUAAUACGUGGGAACAUACCUAUUGGUUCGGAACAACUGAUGGAAACGUCAGCUAAUACCGGAUAAGCCCUGAGGGGGAAAGAUAUAUCGCCGAUAGAAUGGCCCGCGGCAGAUUAGGCAGUUGGUGGGGUAAAGGCCUACCAAACCUACGAUCUGUAGCUGGUCUGAGAGGACGAUCAGCCACAUUGGGACUGAGACACGGCCCAGACUCC